GCAGGCAUUGAUUUUUAAUUUGUUCAUUAAAAUACAAUCAUCACGCACCCACCCAGGACCGAUUCCCAGCCUCGAAUUAUCAGUUUCUUUGUCUUUCCAUUUGAUUGUGACAAAAUAUGGCUCAUUAUUUUGGCCGAUUUAUAUUUAUUCCUUGUGCAUAAUUUGAUGGCAUAUCUCCCGGCAUGUUACAUUUAAUAUCUGCACUCGGCUUUAAUCAGGCAUGCAGUCGGGGUUUUUAGCGCAAUAAAUUCGCAUCGGGCAUUUCAAUGCCCAUGGCCCCGUGGAACUGCUCCAUUUUCGUUUUGGCGUUUUGGACAAAAUGCAAAUGGCCAAAUUGUGAGUGGAUUUUAAAUGGCUCUGAAGUGGCGCUGUCAAUGGGUUUACCAAAAAACUUCUUUCAAUCAAAAUGGAAAUAUUCCCACAAAUCGAAAGGAUUGCCGUUAAGACUAACAUAUUUCCCAGCCAUCGAGUCCUCAUUAGGCAUGCACAGCGGUUUGGUGGACACAUGUUUGACAUUUUCAAACCGCAGCAUCCUUCUCCUCCAUGAUUUUUUGUUUUUUUCAUCUUUGGGUCUUGUUUAAUGCUCUUCACACAUGCUGGACCCGAACGGCAGCAGUAAAAAUGGAAAUAAAUUCAAAACAGGCCGGGAA